GCUAAGACGCAGCCUCAGCGGCUGCAGACAGUAACCCUGCCCCGCCCGAGGGAGGAGCCGGGCCUGGCCGGCCACGCCCCUGCCAGGCGCGGGGCGGGACCCUCGAGCUGGAGCGCCCGCCCCUGCCGCGCCCGCCCCUGCUGCCCACCGCUGUCGCCCCCUCACCUCUUGGCGUCCGGGGCCACCUCGCCCCGCACUCUGAGGCACUCCCCAGGUUUGAGAUUCAGGUUGCUGGCGACCAGACCCUGCGCAAACAAGACCCCGCCCAGCCAGCUGUCUGCCCCCACGCCAUCCCUGGGCCUUGGGGUGGUGCCCCCAUACUCACACAAGCCAUGACUGAAGAGAGAAGGAUGUUCCUGGGACUGCGGCACCAGCUGUCUGAAGACUACCGGAGAGAUGUGCCCCGGCCUGCUCCCACCCUUUUAACUAGACCAGACCCUGGGGAGUCCCGCCCACUGGGUGCUCAGCCAAUUGUAAGUCAGGACGGAUGGGGGCCACGGGAGGCGGGGUCAAUAGAAUUUUGAAGCCACUUCUGGAGCAGAGAUGACCAAUCAGAGCGGAGACCCCCUCCAUUCCUUCUUAAGCACUCCCCCAGGGUCCAGGCUCCACCUUCCAUUCUCCUUCACCCCUCCCUACCCCCCAAAAGAAUUAUGCUGUGGCAAGGAUUGGGGGAAGCCAGUGGAAAAUAGUUUGAGGAUGAGCUAGGCCCAAGAGUUGGCGGGAGUAGGGCCAGGGCCAGCUGGCUGAGCUCAGGGGGUACCCAGAGAAGACAGCUGAGAGGGUGCAGGGUCCUUCGAAGAAUUAGAUCUUGGGUUCACAAGGCUGCUCCCUGGCAGAGACCAGGGCGUGGCCCGCUCUGGGUGCCUCUGCAGAAGGCCCAGGAUCCGUUAACCACAAGGCUCUGGCCACGCCUUGGCCUCCCCCUCCCCCUAAGCAGGGAUUGCAGCUGCUUCUCGUGCUCCUCACAAGCGCUAAAGAAAGGUUGGGCCGGUGCCAGGCCUGAGGCUGCCGCCCAGGCUCAGGGCUCAGGCCUCGGGCUUUGGCUCUCCUGAGGGGCCUGCCAGGGAUCGUCCAGGAGCCCCUACCUGACAGCCUCUGGCCUGAGAGGAUCUGGGAGGGGUCCCAGGGUGAGGCAGGCCACGAGGGGUUGGGGUCCCCUCUCUACUCUCCUCACAUUGCUCCCUCUGAUGCCUGGCACAGACUUUCCUUUCCCCGUCCCUUUAGCAGAUGUUAUACUGAGCACCUACUAUGUGCCUGGCCCUGAGCUGGCCUCAGAGGAUUUGAAGAUGAACCCCUCUCAGUCCCUGCUCUCAAGUAGUCCAUUGUUGGGGCAGAAUCUGGCCAUGAACCUAAUUAAGAAGUUGUGUGAUGCUGGCUCUGAGGGAAGUCCAUGAGCAAGCCCCGAAGUGGGAUGGUCCAGAAUGGAAAGAAGGUGGGUCUUGAAGGAUGGGUGAAGAAGCAGGGAUUGGCAUUCCAGCAUGGAUCAAAGCUCAGAAAUGAGAAAGCACAGGUUUGGGGACACUGAGCAUCUGGGCAUGGCUGGAGUUUAGGGUGUGCUGGGGAAAGAUGGGUCAUGAGGCUAGGAGGCCAAUGGUACCUGGAUUAUCAAGGGCCUCACUGAGGAGCUUGGGCAUUGUUUUAUCUGAGGGUGCUAGGGAGCCACAGAAGGUUAUAAGAAGGGUGAGUAUUGAGUCCAAAUUUAGGCUGCAGGGAAAAUCACUGUAGCAAUAGAGUCGAGGGUGGGUUGGAGGUGUCUCACCUCACACUUCAGCACCAGGUAGAGAAAGGGGCAUGAGGAGCACUGGGCGAGGUGAGGGGCUUGCUAAAGGAGUAAUCAAUGGGACCUCCUUCUCCAUAUCACCAUCCCCCUUCUGAAAUUGCCAGCAUUGAAGAGGGAGGAAGAUGUGGACCAGGAGUGACUCACAGCUGGAGGCCAGGCCAGCAAACCCACCCUGCCCUGUGCUGCCUCCCCAGCCCCCACCUCCCUCCAGAUGACUAAGCCCACGCUGGCAUAGGAGGAGAGGGAAGAGCAUGGGGCUGAGAGGCAGGCCCAGAGAAAUUGGGUCGCACCCCUUGUGAGCCCCUCAGCCUUCCUCCCAGACCACACUGGCUGCCUCAGAAAGCAACCACAGUGCUUCACUUUUUCCUCCAGAGCCUCCCCAAAACCUCAACGUAGGGAGGGUGGGUGGAGCCCAGCCUUUCCUCUGUGCUUACCCUCCAAGGCCCACAGAGACCACUCUCCGCCUGCUCAAGGAAUGGGGGCAUUUCAGGAGGUGUCAUGGACCAAGGCCAGAGGUGCUUCAAGAACAGUCCUUGCCAGACUGCCAUCAGGUGGGCCUGGCUGGCUGUUCCAGCCCAGUAGUUGAGCUCUCAAGGCCUCAGGAGCUGCUCCUCCAUUCUGCCCCCACCCCAAUCUGGAAGAUGGUCCAGCACCAGGAAGUGUUUGCUGUUGGGGGAAGGGCUGCUUUACUCCUCCAGUGUCUGGCCUGCCAAAGGCUGGUAGAGAGAUGGGGUGGCAUAGUGAUAUGGUGUAUAGGCCCCUGGAAAAUCCCCUUGUGGGUCUGGAGACUCGGGGUUCUGGCUCUAGCCUGGCCACGCCCUCCCCAGGGCAUCCUGGCAAGUCACUUCUCCCUGCUGGCCUCAGUCUCCCCAUCUGUGAACUGGGGAUGUGCAGCCCUGCUCUUCUACACAGUUAGUACAAACGGUGUUCAAGUCUAUUGUACUUAAUAGAGGAUUAUUUUUUUCAUACAUCUUGGAAGGUUUUAGCCUCCCUCUUGUCUCUUUUCCCAGGCUGAAUUUACCUUCCUGGGUCAGCGCCUCUGGGAGGUCUCCCUUUCACAGCCACCUCGUCCCCAACAGUUCCCUCCUCCCUAGGCUGGGGUGGGGAACUCUCCAGAGUCCAGUGUCCCCUAAAAACAGGGACUGUGGUUUUCCUAGGGCAGGAGGCAGGGACAGAUGCACUGUGUGCCCCUCCCCCAACCCCAGUCUCAGGGCCUCCUGGUGGUGGCGCCCACUUACCUGCCUGUGCCGGGUGCCUGGCUUUCAUACAUUAUCUCAUUUCGUCUUCACCUCCCUCCUGCUUCAGGACUGCCAACUGGGUCAAGCUUCUGCACAGGGAAGCUGCCCCGGGGCCCUGAGAUGAAGCUGACAUUAGAAUCAGAGAAGAGGGGCAAGUCUUGAUUUGGAGGUUACCAGCUGUGACUGUAGCCAAGGUCCUUGUCCUCUCUGAACCUGUAUCCAGUAAGUGGGAAUGUUACCCACCUGCCAGCUGGCUGGAGGAUUACAGGCGUGAUGUGGGAGGGGCUCAGCAUCAGUUCUCUCUUGCACCCCCCAAGGCCCCUCUCCCUGUAGUCCUCCCAUCGGCACCCCACGGGCCUGCAGCAGAGGCAGCGAGCUCUCUGGAAUUCCUUCGUGCUCCAGGCUGGUCCUGUGGGCUGGACCUUGGCUGCUGCCAUGAGAAAUGAGUUGAGCUUGUCCAGACAGGGGAGCCAGGCCAGUGCGGCUCUUCCCAGCCUGCCAGCUCCUAACCGCCCCCGUGACGGCUGCGCCUCCUCCCGCGGCCAGGGGUGGAGAGGGCUGCCAGGCCCACCGACACACCAGCUGCACCCCCAGGCAACCUGGCUGGCCCAGUGGGGAAGGCGGGGGUGGUCAGAGCCAGCUCCAGAGCUCCCCCAUUUAUUGAUGCUGAGACCACCCAGAGACGGUGGCCGCUUGGCCCCCAGAGCUAGGGCUGCGGCCCUUUUAUCUACUGAGCCAAGGAAAGAACACUGUGGUCCGGGAUACCUAGACCUCAACAGUAAUCGUUCCUCCUGCUCAGUGAAAGGGAGGAAGGGCUAGUAGGGGAUGUCCCCCAACUUCAGGUACUUUUCCAACCAGUUUGUGCUGGAGCCCACCCCACACUUACCUGCUCAUCCAUUUCCACCUCCCUCUUUGCAUGUGCUGGUCUACCUGCCCAGACAGCCACCUGGUGGCUUCCACCUUUCCAUCUGGUGUCUGUCCCCCGCUGAACACAGUCCCCGGUUUGCCUUUAAGGAACUGCCCCUCCUGUCCUGUGAGGUCUGGGUGGGGUCCAGACCCUGUCAUUCAUUAGUCCUGCAAGGCUCAGGCCGGAGUCUGGUUUUUUUUUUUAAUGUUUUUUUUUUUGGGUGACAUAAUUAUAGACUCACAGGAAGCUAAGAGCUUUUUAAGAGCUUAGAAAAUAUUUGAGACGUGAAGGAAAAAAUGUGUUGGGCCCAAAAUACUAAAACUGCAGAGCUGAAAUUAAUAAAUAUUUACUGUGCUCAAACCAAAAACUUGGUAGUCAUAAAAACUGUAUUACAUUUGAAAACAGUUUGUCGGUUAAAUUUUCUUCAAAAGCGUGCCCAAGUCUUCCUAGAGGCUGGUCACUCCUAAAUUAGAUCUCCACCACCAAAUAAUGUCUAAAAUAAAACUAUCAAAAUACUUGGGAAAUGUACAGCACCCCCCCACCCAUAAACAUAGUUAACAUGGGCUGUGGGCACACAUUUCCUGUGAUGUGCUUGGGACCUGUGUAUCAGGAGUGUUUUGGGCUGUAAGCCGGGGAAAAUUCAACUGAAGCGGCUUUAAAAUUAAGGACAACUCAUGUAACAGGAAGUCGAGCUAGGAGGUUUCCAUGGCAGGUUAAUUCAGUGGCUCAGUGAAACCAACAAAGAUCUGGGUUCCUGUAUCGUGGUGGAUCGUGGCCGUGUAGACAGUCCUUGUGCUUCUGCACAGCCACAGAGCCACAACUAGUCCUUGCUCUUAGGACAGAGAAGCUAAAGGGUUUGGGAUGAACUUAACAUCUGCAACAUACUCUCGAAUGAAUCAGUUAAAAAUGUAAAUAUAUAUAUAAAGAGCAAUUAAGCAAAUAGGACAAAUAUGAACAGCUGGGAGUCUAAGUGAAGGGCACUUGGGUGUUUAUUGUGCUGUACUUGCACCUUUUCUGUUGGUCUGAAAUUUUUCUAAAUUAAAAUUUGGGGAGUGUGACAUAUAAGAAACAUGUAUUUGGUUUCUGAUCCCAGUUCCUGACAUAGGUCCUAAAACCCUUGCCAUUUCCUAAGUGAUAGGGGUGACUGAACGAGCAUCUUUCUGACCCCAGUUCGUGACACAGAGCUCCUAAAUCCCUUGGAAUUUCCUGGGUGAUAGGAGCAUCUUUUGUUAUAUUGAAGUGACUCUUGGUGGGCACCUGGAUGGCUUCAGGAUGGGGGCUGUUUACCAGAAACACCAAGCAGCAACUGGAACUUUCCCCGGGGAGGGGAGAUGGGCUAGAGAUUAAUGACCAAUGCCUACAUGAUGAAUCCCCUCCAUAAGACUCUCCAAACUACAGGGUUUGGAGAGCUUCCAGGUUGGUGAACACAUCCACAUCCAUGCUGGGAGGCUGCCGCACCCCAACUCCAUGGUGACAGAAGCUUCUGCACCUCGCCCUAUGGGUCUUCAUCUAGCUGUUCAUCUGCAUGCUUUAUCAUUCCCUUUAUGAUAUAAUAAACCAGUAAUCGUAGUGUUACCCUGAGUUUUCAAACCUGAGAAGGGGAUUGUGGGAACCUCUGAUUUAUAGCCAGUUGGUCAGAAGUACAGGUGAUGACGCUGGACUUGCGAUUGGCAUUGAAGUGGGGGAGAAUCUUAGGAGACCGAGCCCGUAACCUGUGGGGUCUGCACUAACUCCAGGUAGUGUCAGAAUUGAAUUAAAAUUGUAGGAUACCCAGUUGGUGUCCACAGAAAACUAGAGAAUUGUUUGGUAUAGAAAACUCGCACAUUUGGUGUUGGAAGUACUGUGUUCUGUGGGUAGAGGAAACAGUUUUCCCUUUCAGUUGGUGUCAGAGAAGUGGGAUUUGCUACAAAGGCCCUGGCUCAUGGAAACGUGUGGUUUGGGAAGAGAAAGUGUGAAAGGGCAGAGAUGAGGAACCUUUGAUUCCUGGCUGGUCACGUGGUCACCCAUGGUCCGAGCAGCAGCUGGGCUGCACUAUUACUAAAGGUAAACACUGCCAGUGGAAUUUAGACAUGACUCCAACUCCUGGGGAGUUGGCUUACUGGAUGUAUAAGGAAUUGCGAAAAAAGUAAAAUUUAUAGUCCCUUGGUUAUGGUUAUCUGUAAUAGGUAAAAUGAAAUCAAAAGAGUACUGGGUGGGACCCUGAUGCUAGACCAAGUUUAGAUUUCAGUGAGUCUAAACUUUGGCUACUGCCUCAAAGCCACCCCCAGAGGGAAAAAUUAUGCAGAGACAACAGAAAGUAACUCUAAGGCCUUGGUCAUCAAGAAAGUAGUCAACAUGGGGGAAGGGAGGGGAGGCAAAACUAGGACAAUAUUGAAACCAGGGGGUAUAAUGUGAAGUUGUUUUAUGUUGUGGAUUGUUGCCAUUAACUUCCUAAAAUAUUAGCUGGGAAUUGACGUGAAGGCCAUACAGUGCUCACUGUGGUAUUCUUAUACUUUUUCUGUUGGUUUGAAACUUUUCUAAAUUAGAGGUUGGGGGAAACAACCCCAAGUUCUUCCAAUCUUCCCAAAGCAGUCACAAAGCAGAAAAAUAAGAGAAAUAUACUGGGCCAUGCCUCAUGAUAACAAAAUGGCUGCAAAAGCUUCCACACCCAAAGCCUAGAAGAGAGGCUGAGAGGGAUGAUACACCUGGAGGGUGCUGGACCACCUCACAGGGGCAGCCAAUAAACUCCCUUCUGCCUUAGUCAGGUUGAGCUGAGCGUGUCACAACCAGAAGUCUCCACGAGUGCACAUUUGCUCCCACUUCCUGAUGCAGCCAGGCUCAGCCAAACACUCCCUCUUCCCAAGAAGAAUCACACUGGGGAGAGUUUCCCAGACCUUGAGGUCCCACCCUUCACUUUAUAAAUAAGGGAGCAGGCUUGUGCAAGCUCAAGUGACAUGUAAAUCAGUGACAGUCAAGCCUGGAAUGGUCACGGCAUCUCCCCACCCAGCUUCUGUAGGCCUGUCCCGCUGCCCCUCAGCCAGUUCUUGGCUGGGCAUGUGAGGCCAGCAGGGCAGAUGUUCACAGCAGCACCCAGGUGUGAAGGAUGCCUGAAAUGGAGGGGCGGGGUCCGCAGCAUCUCACCUGAGCUCCCGGAGGGCAAGACCUGCCUUCCUCCCUCUCUCUACAGAGAGGGACUGCAGCCUCCUGGAAUCAGCCAACAUUUAAGUUCAGAUCCUGCCUCAGGUGAUCACACUUUCUUGGUGUGUGUCCUUGUGUAGGUUAACAUCGCCUUUCUGAUCCUCAUUCCUCAAGGAGUAAAGUGGGCUGAGUAAUACAAGCUUGCUGGAGUUUCUGCAGGACUGAAACGAACCGGUAUAUAAAGACUCAGUGAGGCAUAAAGUGCUGCUGAGCUAAGGUACCGCUGCACUCAGAGAAUACUCUGGAACUGAGGUGGAUCAUUUCACAAAGCGGGUGGGCCCACUUCCAGGGAAAGCAGGCUCAGGCAGAGGCUCCUCCUCCCGCCUCUCCCUGGACACAGACUUGAACCCACACAGACACUCCCACUCGCACUUUAUUAAGUACGGGCGGACUGGUUACAACAGAGGUGGAGGUGGCGGGGAAGGCCCUGCCCCCACCCCCACCCCCACCGUCAC